AGGCCUGCUUCUUCCUGGGGCCCAGCCUCAGCCAGCCCCGCCCCAGCGCCGAGAGCCCCAGGCUGAGCCUCAGCUGGUGCCGUGGGGACUCCGCGCCCCAGUGGGUGGAUGGCACCACUGGCCUGACCGUGCUGAAAGACCCUGCCCUGGAGGGCCAGGCCAGCCGGAGCCGGAUCUGCAAGCUGGCUAUGCUGUGCUGCUUCCGACAGGUGGCGCAGGCCAUGCACAGGAGUGACCUGCUGGCGCUGCCCACUUACCACCAAGCCAAGGCCCAGGCGGCAUCUUACCAGAGCGCCAAGGGACGGUUCUUCGCUCACCUGACCGCCCAAGGGCUGGGCAAAUGGCCUCAGAAGCAUCUGGUGGACAACUUCACCGGCUAGGGAGCGAAAUAUCUUGGCCACCUGCCCUCCCGGAAAGGCCUGGGACGCCUGAAAGAGGGACAUCCAGAUGGGGUGUGUGUGGGGGGAGUCUGGUCUGAAAGCUUGAAAAAUAAAAAGAAAAUGUGUCACUCCCACCCCUCUGGAUCUAAGUGUGAGACAGAAUCGAAGAGCAAUUUCUGUCCUGCCCUGCUUCAACAUGCUCAUUCCUGCCAGCAGGGACAGACAGACACACCACGCUCAUGUAGCUGGGACAGACAGACACACCACA